rnacentral:rRNA from 1 species
AGAGUUUGAUCCUGGCUCAGGACGAACGCUGGCGGCGUGCCUAAUACAUGCAAGUCGAGCGGACAGAUGGGAGCUUGCUCCCUGAUGUUAGCGGCGGACGGGUGAGUAACACGUGGGUAACCUGCCUGUAAGACUGGGAUAACUCCGGGAAACCGGGGCUAAUACCGGAUGGUCGUUUGAACCGCAUGGUUCAAACAUAAAAGGUGGCUUCGGCUACCACUUACAGAUGGACCCGCGGCGCAUUAGCUAGUUGGUGAGGUAAUGGCUCACCAAGGCAACGAUGCGUAGCCGACCUGAGAGGGUGAUCGGCCACACUGGGACUGAGACACGGCCCAGACUCCUACGGGAGGCAGCAGUAGGGAAUCUUCCGCAAUGGACGAAAGUCUGACGGAGCAACGCCGCGUGAGUGAUGAAGGUUUUCGGAUCGUAAAGCUCUGUUGUUAGGGAAGAACAAGUACCGUUCGAAUAGGGCGGUACCUUGACGGUACCUAACCAGAAAGCCACGGCUAACUACGUGCCAGCAGCCGCGGUAAUACGUAGGUGGCAAGCGUUGUCCGGAAUUAUUGGGCGUAAAGGGCUCGCAGGCGGUUUCUUAAGUCUGAUGUGAAAGCCCCCGGCUCAACCGGGGAGGGUCAUUGGAAACUGGGGAACUUGAGUGCAGAAGAGGAGAGUGGAAUUCCACGUGUAGCGGUGAAAUGCGUAGAGAUGUGGAGGAACACCAGUGGCGAAGGCGACUCUCUGGUCUGUAACUGACGCUGAGGAGCGAAAGCGUGGGGAGCGAACAGGAUUAGAUACCCUGGUAGUCCACGCCGUAAACGAUGAGUGCUAAGUGUUAGGGGGUUUCCGCCCCUUAGUGCUGCAGCUAACGCAUUAAGCACUCCGCCUGGGGAGUACGGUCGCAAGACUGAAACUCAAAGGAAUUGACGGGGGCCCGCACAAGCGUGGAGCAUGUGGUUUAAUUCGAAGCAACGCGAAGAACCUUACCAGGUCUUGACAUCCUCUGACAAUCCUAGAGAUAGGACGUCCCCUUCGGGGGCAGAGUGACAGGUGGUGCAUGGUUGUCGUCAGCUCGUGUCGUGAGAUGUUGGGUUAAGUCCCGCAACGAGCGCAACCCUUGAUCUUAGUUGCCAGCAUUCAGUUGGGCACUCUAAGGUGACUGCCGGUGACAAACCGGAGGAAGGUGGGGAUGACGUCAAAUCAUCAUGCCCCUUAUGACCUGGGCUACACACGUGCUACAAUGGACAGAACAAAGGGCAGCGAAACCGCGAGGUUAAGCCAAUCCCACAAAUCUGUUCUCAGUUCGGAUCGCAGUCUGCAACUCGACUGCGUGAAGCUGGAAUCGCUAGUAAUCGCGGAUCAGCAUGCCGCGGUGAAUACGUUCCCGGGCCUUGUACACACCGCCCGUCACACCACGAGAGUUUGUAACACCCGAAGUCGGUGAGGUAACCUUUUAGGAGCCAGCCGCCGAAGGUGGGACAGAUGAUUGGGGUGAAGUCGUAACAAGGUA